UCUGGAGGAAAUGACAUCUAACCUGGAAUCUGAAGGAUUGCUAGAAGUGAGCCAGACCAGGGGAAUGAGAGAAUGUUGUAGGCAGAGAGAAAAAAACCUAGGUGAAGGCCUGAAAAGUAAGUGAGAGAGAGAAUUUGGUGAAUCGAAGGACCUGAAAGAAUUUUGGUAUGCCUGGAUCAACACAACUGUGUUUGUAUGUGUGUGUGUGCAUAGGUGACGUGAGGGUGGUGGAGCAUUUGUGAUUGAUAAGUCAGGCAGGUUCUCUUACAUCGACCACCUAAGAGUCGUGCUGUAAGAAGCAACAACCUCUCCUCCUCCUCUCCGCCAUCUGCUCAGCAGCCUUAAAACAGCAGCUAUGCGUGAGUGCAUCUCCAUCCAUGUUGGCCAGGCUGGUGUCAGAUCGGCAGUGCCUACUGGGAGCUCUGCUACCUGGAACACGGCAUCCAGCCCGAUGGCCAGAUGCCAAGUGACAAGACAAUUGGGGGAGGAGAUGACUGCUUUAACACCUUCUUCAGUGAGACAGGCGCUGGCAGGCAUGUGCCCAGGGCAGUGUUUGUAGACGUGGAACCCACGGUCAUUGAUGAAGUUUGCAUUGGCACCUACUGCCCGCUCUUCCACCCUGAGCAGCUCAUCACAGGCAAGGAAGAUGCUGCCAAUAACUAUGCCUGAGGUCACUACGCCAUUGGCAAGGAGAUCAUUGACCUCAUCUUGGACCCAGUUCGGAAACUGGCUGACCAGUGCACAAGUCUUCAGUGCUUCUUGGUUUUCCACAGCUUUGGUGGGUGAACUGGUUCUGGGUUCACCUCCCUGCUGAUGGAACAUCUGUCUGUCGAUUAUGGCAAGAAGUCCAAGCUGGAGUUCUCCAUUUACCCAGCCCCUCAG